rnacentral:rRNA from 1 species
GAUGAACGCUGGCGGCGUGCCUAAUACAUGCAAGUCGAACGAAACUUCUUUAUCACCGAGUGCUUGCACUCACCGAUAAAGAGUUGAGUGGCGAACGGGUGAGUAACACGUGGGCAACCUGCCCAAAAGAGGGGGAUAACACUUGGAAACAGGUGCUAAUACCGCAUAACCAUAGUUACCGCAUGGUAACUAUGUAAAAGGUGGCUAUACUACCGCUUUUGGAUGGGCCCGCGGCGCAUUAGCUAGUUGAUAGGGUAAAGGCUUACCAAGGCAAUGAUGCGUAGCUGAAUUGAGAGGUUGAUCGGCCACAUUGGGACUGAGACACGGCCCAAACUCCUACGGGAGGCAGCAGUAGGGAAUCUUCCACAAUGGGCGAAAGCCUGAUGGAGCAACGCCGCGUGGGUGAAGAAGGUCUUCGGAUCGUAAAACCCUGUUGUUAGAGAAGAAAGUGCGUGAGAGUAACUGUUCACGUUUCGACGGUAUCUAACCAGAAAGCCACUGCUAACUACGUG